rnacentral:rRNA from 1 species
AUGAUAAGGUUGACCGACACGGACAAACCAUCUCUCCAUUUGAUAUAUGAUAUCUGGGAUGACAUGGUAGAGAAGGUAAAAGUUCCCAUUUAUCGGUACUAUAGUCCAAAUUGGGUUGGGGCAGUCCGUGGCCGUGUUACCCCCAUUGAUGAUCAUGAGAUUUUACAAAUGAGAAACAAGUGUUUGCUGAAGUUUUUUCCGGACCCAAAUGACAACAAGACCGUCAAGAAAGAAUUUGCAAAUUUUGCUCUAAUGCUGAAUGCCUUUCAGGAUGCAGAUUCAAUUGAAGAUAGAGAUGAUUUUGAACCAAAGCAAUGGUGGGGCACUCAUGAAAGGAAUUGGAGCACAUAUUCCUUCAUCCAUAGCUCCGGCAGAAACAGGCUCACUCCUGUACAUGCUGAGGAUUUAGUGUUGUCACAUAACAACUUGCGUCUGCUUUCAAGACAAUCUGAUGGGGUUGAGAGCUUCACUGGUGUUGGCAUGCUUGAAGGUGCUGACCUUACACUUGAUGAACCCGAAUUGGAUUCUAAGAUUAUGGAUGCUCUCACUUGA